rnacentral:rRNA from 1 species
UACGAAGGGGGCUAGCGUUGUUCGGAAUACUGGGCGUAAAGCGUGCGCAGGCGGUUGUGCAAGACAGGUGUGAAAUCCCCGGGCUUAACCUGGGAACUGCACUUGUGACUGCACGGCUAGAGUACGGUAGAGGGGGAUGGAAUUCCGCGUGUAGCAGUGAAAUGCGUAGAUAUGCGGAGGAACACCGAUGGCGAAGGCAAUCCCCUGGACCUGUACUGACGCUCAUGCACGAAAGCGUGGGGAGCAAACAGG